GGUGUACUGAAUAUUUUAUUUAAUAACUAGAUUGAUAAUUCAUGUAUAUAUUGGCACUAACACUGAGUUAUCAUUUAAUUUCUAAGAUCAAAUCCUUUACAGUAUAAAAACCUUACUGCUUUCAUUCACGACUUUAAAAAGUCGCAAUGAAAAAAAAAAAUUAUUGAUAUCCUAAAAUGCAAAUUUCUACAUUAAAAAUCAACUUUAAUUUAUGUUUUUUUUAAAUUGACAUUAAGAUUGAUCUGAAAAUUUAUAACAGUUGUUCUGCAAAACAAUCUAUUAUAUGUCAUGACUAGCUAAUUACAAUAUGACAGAGUCAUAGUUCAAGGUAUAAAUUAUAUUGACAUAGCUUAUAAACUGGCAAGCUCUUCUUUCUGCGAUAAUUUCUGUCAGAAUCUCAAAAACAUGUGUAUUUUGAUAACUUACAAAUUAUGCAUAACUCCUUUCUAUCUUAAGUAACAGUAAAAUCUUUACAUAGAUGUUUCAAUGAAUCAUUCAAAUAUAUUAACAUUUUCAUAGCACAAAACCAGAGCAGAUAAUAAGACUUAGUAGUAAUGCAUCCAAGAAGCUAUCCAGGAUAAAGUGAUAAUUCUAUAGUUUUCAUUUUUGAAAAUCUUUCUUGCAAAUGAUCUCGCAUAGACUUAAACAUUAUUCCUCAAUAAUCUCACACAGAAAAAACGGAAGUGA
rnacentral:lncRNA from 1 species